UAUAUUUUCCAAAUAUACCGAGCGCGCAAAGCGCGCGAGGAACAAGCGCCAGCUAGUUACGUUAUAAUUUUAAUCAGCAAACACGCGGAGGAGAGCGCGAGGGUCGUUGCGCGAACACUGUUAACGCUUGUUGGUUUUAGACAAACUCGCAUGAUUUUUGUAACAAGUGAGUCAUGAUUACACGUUGACGAAAUAUGAAUCGCUGCAUAUCUAUGUGAUCUCAUGUGACAAUCAACGGACCUAUUUGUGUCAUUGACGUAAAACGGCUAGAUCUAGCGAAACGAUUGCGAGUUCAAGCGAAUUCCUACGUAAUUCUCGGUAAUGCAAGUUUUCCAUCAUGUUAUGAGAUCUAUUAUAAAUCUCCAUGUACGCAUUAGAUAAUAUUUAAAAAAAUCUCGUUAAUCGAAUCAACCGCUUAUCGCGCGUAGCGUAAUUCAUUAAACAAUUAAUCUAUACUGUAACUGUUGGUCUGAACAUUCGUAAUUCCUGCCUGUGCAAACGAGCGAUCGUUACCACAUUGCGCACUCAUGUGGAUCAGAAAAAAAAGAGACUCUGAGGUGAAAGUAGUUAAUUAGAAUCGUCUUACACCGACUGCUGCGCUUUAAGGGGGGAUUCUCAUGUAACGAGUCAAAAAAUUUUUUUUGCUUAAAUCAACUCUAAUACAUGUGGAAAAUAUGUUCCUAAAGUUACAAAUCGAUAUUUGACCUCUACGUAUAGUUAUAGUCGAGUUUUCGAUCGCGCGUUGAGUAGGUAGCUGGGAGCGCUCGGAGCGGAGACACGCGUCUCAUCUGUCCUCACUCAUACACUCGUACAUAACAAACAGCUUCGCAGGUAUACGUCUAAUGGUUUUCUUUUGUUGUGAUAUACCUUCGCGUACUUGUAUAGCUGAGGCAGGAAAUUUUUACGAGAGCUUCAAUUCGUGUGUUUGGCGUUUGGCUCCGAAAUAUUUAUAUUGUGGCAUCCGAACAGUGGAAAUAGCCGCAUAUAUUGCUGCAGGAUUAUUCAACGAAGGCUAUUUCGCCGUUUUAAAAAUUAUGGACACAUUAGAACUAAAGAUCGGUACCCAUUGUAAGGAGUAUGCAGACUCGUGUGACGCCGCGCGAAUACGGCAACAGGAGUGACGAAGCCUCAGUAGCUCGAAAGAAGCUCGAACUGCUCACAAAGAACUGAAUUUACAACAGCAGCAAUUAUACGAGGAUGCAGAAGGCCUACUAUAUGGCCCUGGAAUCGCCGAUUAGGACUACCAUUACAGCGGAUGCUAGACUGCACACCGUUUGACGCCUGCGACGCCGAAGCCGCUGAAGGCGGCGUCCAUACCUAUAUCUAUAUAUAUGUUUUUUUUAACCAAAAAAAUAUUUUUAUAUUCUCUUUACAUGUAUUGAUGUACUAUUAAAGUUUGAGAUCCUUUGACUAAAUACGUUCUUGAAAAAAAA